AGGCGAAUUACCAAUUCCUUCAUAUGUCAUUAUCCUUGUGAAAAUUAGAUAAAAUUAGAUAAGACAAAAAUUAUAAAAUGAAAACUCAUUAUAAAAUCAUUUUUUUUUGUAAGAAAUUGCUCAACAACGAGUGUUUCUAGUCUUUUUUUUAAUUGGGGCUACAGUAGAUAUGACAGAGAAAAGGUUGGAGUCAGAGAGAUGAAAGAGAAAGGAUUGAGAAGAAUGAGAAAGGUGAGUAAGGGUUUGGGGGUUUCUGUUUUUUUAGUUUUGAGAAUGAAAAUUAUUUAAAUAUCCUUGACUUUAAAAGUUAGAAUCCAUAAUAUAUAAUAUAUGAGGGUAUUUUUGUCUACUAUAAUCCGGUACACAUUGUUAAAA
rnacentral:lncRNA from 1 species